CACGUAGGGCGCAAGCGUUGUCCGGAAUUAUUGGGCGUAAAGGGCGCGUAGGCGGCUUGUACAGUCAGACGUGAAAUUCCUGGGCUCAACCUGGGGGCUGCGUUUGAUACGUAUGGGCUUGAGUUCGGAAGAGGGUCGUGGAAUUCCCAGUGUAGAGGUGAAAUUCGUAGAUAUUGGGAAGAACACCGGUGGCGAAGGCGGCGACCUGGUCCGAUACUGACGCUGAGGCGCGAAAGCGUGGGGAGCAAACAGG
rnacentral:rRNA from 1 species